rnacentral:RNase_P_RNA from 1 species
CGAGUUGACCAGACAAUCGCUGCUUUAUCGUUGAAUUCAAAUUUCGGUUUGAUCUCGGCAGAUAGAGGGGAGGAAAGUCCGGGCUCCAAUGAGCAGGGUGCCAGGUAACGCCUGGGCGGCGUGAGCCGACGACAAGUGCAGCAGAGAGAAGACCGCCGAUGGUUUCCUUCGGGAUUCACAGGUAAGGCUGAAAGGGUGCGGUAAGAGCGCACCGGAUUGCUGGUAACAGUAAUUGCAGGGUAAACUCCACCUGGAGCAAGACCAAAUAGGGUUUCAUGAUUAUUGUUGCGCAAGUUUCAAUAAUAUAAGCGUGGCUCGCGUGGAAACCGGGUAGGUUGCUUGAGCCUUAGAGUGAUUUAAGGCCUAGACGAAUGAUUGUCACUUCUUCGGAAGAUACAAAACCCGGCUUAUAGUGUCAACUCACUUA